UACGAAGGGGGCUAGCGUUGCUCGGAAUUCACUGGGCGUAAAGCGCACGUAGGCGGAUUGUUAAGUCAGGGGUGAAAUCCUGGAGCUCAACUCCAGAACUGCCUUUGAUACUGACGGUCUUGAGUUCGGGAGAGGUGAGUGGAACUGCGAGUGUAGAGGUGAAAUUCGUAGAUAUUCGCAAGAACACCAGUGGCGAAGGCGGCUCACUGGCCCGAUACUGACGCUGAGGUGCGAAAGCGUGGGGAGCAAACA
rnacentral:rRNA from 1 species